rnacentral:rRNA from 1 species
UACAGAGGUCCCAAGCGUUGUCCGGAAUCACUGGGCGUAAAGGGCGCGUAGGUGGCGCGGGCAGUCAACGGUGAAAGUUCGGGGCUCAACCCCGAAUCGGCCGUCGAUACUCCCGGGCUUGAGCACUGUAGAGGCUAAUGGAAUUCCGGGUGUAGCGGUGGAAUGCGUAGAGAUCCGGAAGAACACCAGUGGCGAAGGCGGCCUUCUGGACCAAUACUGACGCUCAUGCACGAAAGCGUGGGGAGCAAACAGG